UAGGGAAUCUUCCACAAUGGACGAAAGUCUGAUGGAGCAACGCCGCGUGAGUGAAGAAGGGUUUCGGCUCGUAAAACUCUGUUGUUGAAGAAGAACAUAUCUGAGAGUAACUGUUCAGGUAUUGACGGUAUUUAACCAGAAAGCCACGGCUAACUACGCGCCAG
rnacentral:rRNA from 1 species